rnacentral:rRNA from 1 species
GAUGAACGCUGGCGGCGUGCCUAACACAUGCAAGUCGAACGGAGUCGUUUUGGAAAUCUCUUCGGAGAUGGAAUUCUCGACUUAGUGGCGGACGGGUGAGUAACGCGUGAGCAAUCUGCCUUUAAGAGGGGGAUAACAGUCGGAAACGGCUGCUAAUACCGCAUAAAGCAUUAAAUUCGCAUGUUUUUGAUGCCAAAGGAGCAAUCCGCUUUUAGAUGAGCUCGCGUCUGAUUAGCUAGUUGGCGGGGUAACGGCCCACCAAGGCGACGAUCAGUAGCCGGACGGAGAGGGUGAACGGCCACAUUGGGACUGAGACACGGCCCAGACUCCUACGGGAGGCAGCAGUGGGGAAUAGUGCGCAAUGGGGGAAACCCUGACGCAGCAACGCCGCGUGAUUGAAGAAGGCCUUCGGGUUGUAAAGAUCUUUAAUCAGGGACGAAACAAAUGACGGUACCUGAAGAAUAAGCGCCGGCUAACUACGUG